AGAAUGUUAAUACUGUCACGACGACAGAGAAAAAGGCUGCUAAAAAGAAAAAAAAAUUAUCACCGAGCGAGCCGACUAAAGAAGAAACUACAAAAGGAUUUAAACCGGUGAUUAAGUUGCCCUACCCUUAGAGAGUGACAAAGAAGGAACCUAGUGAGUCAGACUUGGAGAAAUUCAUGACAAUGUUUAAAAGGGUUGAGGGUCA
rnacentral:lncRNA from 1 species